AUGCCUUAAAAUUGUCAAGUUUGGGAAACACUGUCUUAGACCAUCUGAAAAUCAUUUAUCAAAGAAAGAUGCUCUGGGUUGCACAUAGGAAAUAGGAGAUAUUACUUGGAAACCCCUUUUCCCUAGCUGUGUUUAUGCUCUCUAGUGACAGUGGGAGAACCAGUUUGGUGUACCAGUUAAAGGCACCCAGGAGACUGUACGUUCUAGCCUUGAUUUAAGCAUGAUGAAGCCAGCUAGGUGAUCUUGGGCCAGCAACUCUCUCUCAGCCCUAGAAAGGACACAAUGGCAAACCACUUCCAAAAACCCUUGCUAAGAAAACUGCAGAGACCUGUCUGAGCAAUUCUCCAGGAAAUCAAUACUGUCCUGAAGUUUUUUUUUAAAAAAAUGCUUAAAUACUGUAUAAACUGGCUCAGCUCUGAACACCUUGCAAAUGACUGCAGAGAUCUAGCACUACCUGGGAAUUGAUGCAGAAUUCUCUGGUAGGCCUGCUUGUCAGACCCAACUCAGGGGUGAGGCGAUUUGACACAUUCCUGCUGAGAAUGUCUACAAAUAAAAGAGAUUAUUGGUAGCUCAGGGUUAACUGAGGGGUCCUUGGUGCUCUCUGAGCUUGGUUGUUUUCUUGCAGACGUUUCAUCACCCAGCUAGGUAAUAUCAUCAGAUCUAGGAGGGAGUGUGUGGGAUGUGGAGAGAGGAGUCGGAGGAAGGAAGAUUGUGGGGUCCUCGGUGAUCUCUGAGUUUUGUGGUUUUCUUGCAGAUGUUUCAUUAUCCAAACUAGGUAACAUCUUCAGUGCACUGAGCACGCUACCUAGUUGGGUAAUGAAACGUCUGCAGGGAAAACAAGCAACCUCAGAGGGCAUCAAGACCCCUCAAAUGACUGUGUUUCACCCCCUUGCACUUGAGAAAUGUUGUGAAGGACCCAGGUCUCCUGUGCAUGACCUAAAAAAAUCCUUGGAGUAGUACGGCAUCAUCAUUUCAGUCAUGCCUUUGGCUCCAAAAUGGCACCCGAGGGGAUUAAGAGACCAAGCAAGGAUGCGCUUGGCUAAUUCCAUUCACGACCGCUACGACUUUGCAAUGAAUUUUAAUCCUUAAGGAUUUUAGCCCUUUUAGAAAAGACGCUGGCUAGAUCCCUGAUUUUAUCCGUUGCAAAAGAAGACCCGAUUUACUCAUUUCUUAAGCAUCAGGAACUAUUAGCAACCGCAAGGCUGUUCUUUGUUUCUUGGGGGGCUAUUUAUUUUGCUGUUCCAGCCUGCUACGUCUGAAAUGAACUGCCAAUGCGUGCCUCUUUUUUUUUUUUUUUUGCAACAGAUGACACAAUGUUUGUGCAUUUUUCUUGGCAACUGGGCCAAGAUUGCUAACCACUCCCUUCUCUGGGGCUGGUUUGUUGGACUCCCCAGCGCUGCUGAGAUAUCAUAGGCGCCCGUCAUCCAAACGUUAAUCGAACCCAUCACUGUUGUAUGUGAGUUGUCUUAGUGCUGUCAAAUGCUGAGACACGCACUGUGAGCUUCCCAUGCAAAGGGCUGAGCGAUCAGUUGCAACCGGCACGCAAGCCUUCCUCUUGUAAAGAAAGCAGAAAACUUGACAACAACAACAACAAAGCAAAGAGGAGCUGACAGUUCUGGGAUCAUCACCUGACAGGAGUGGGACUAAUCCUGAGAGAGCAGAUCUAGGACUGGUCAUUUCUCCUCAUCCUCACAGGUUCUGCUCCGUAAGAGGUACAAGCCACAUCAAGGGGGCAACAACUUCAGACACAUAUUUGUUUGUUUGUUUGUUUGUAUCCUGCCUUCACUAUUUUCAUGAAUAACUCAAAGUGGUGAACCCUCCAUCCCUAUUUUUUGCAACAUAUCCUUGUUGCCUGAGGCAGGAGAGCCUCCCAACAGGAGUUCACAUAAUCAUCGUCACAUAGCUAGACAACUACAAUGAACGCCACUCUUGAAGGACAUCCGGAGGUUUUAGUUAUCCCACAAUCCAGCAGGGCAUUCAUUGGCUAGCAUUGACCUCUGGAAAGUUAAGUGUAAUCUCUGAACCCUACAUUAGCUUUCGGUUUAGGGAGCAAGUCCCAAGGAUCUUCUGGAUUAUCUUCUUCAGCUGGAAUCAACCAACCCAACCGCUGAGAGUCCUCCAUUUCUUCAAGGCCACCCCAUGAAGGUUCAAAUGCAACAGUUUUCUUCUUCUAGCACCACUAGUUUGGAAGAGCUUCCCACUUUAACUGGAAUUGGUCCCUACAGUUUUGGCUUAGCAGAAAUUAUUGAAAAUAUCUACAGUGAUUCAUGGUGCCUAGAGCAGAUGACUGGUCUAUGCUUUUAAAAACUAUUGUAUAACCAUGCAUUUGCAAUUCUGGAUAUAUUUUUAAAAAAAUUUCCAUUGCUGUAAACCACAAAGGGUGCUAAAAUUGGUAAUAAGUCUGGUUAAUAAAUAAAGAGGGAGGAAAUAUUACAUUUUUGAGGGCUCAGUCAGUCUGGAUUUCCAUUGAUACAGUAUAUAAAAUAAAUAAUUAAAGUAAGCGUGGUCAAUACAUUUUGAAUUCUUAGCACUAGCACUUAGACUUAUAUACCGCUUCACAGUGGGGGAAAUGUUAUUUUCAAGUAGAUUAAAUGGAGAAAUGAAAGCUCUUCAAUUCAGUGGAAGACUGUAAGAGCCUGAAGCCUUGUCAAGGACACCAGAACAGGUGUGGAUUUGAAGCAGACGGUUCCCAUAACAAAGUGAACUUGUUGAUAUGAAUUACAUAAAAUGUUGGGGUUUUGGCUGGGAAAAUUAUUGUUUAAGUGUAUGAAUUGGUGUUGGAACCUCAGAAUUAGUUUUGCUUCGACAAAACCAUACAGUGUAUUUUAAGAAACAGUAAGAUUUUUGGAAGCGGAAUGAACCUGGAAUUUUAUUGGGAUUCUUGAAUUGGAUGUUGACAGUUCUUUGCUGGCAUGGGAUUAGCCUGGAGUUUCAGAAUAUUAGCUUGCACAAGGCUACUGCGAAACACAGAGCUUAGCAUCUCCUGGGUGUCUUUGUGAACUUAUUCUAUUUGUAGCUCUAACUCCCAUCAAUGGCAGCUCAUGAUAUAAACUCAUGUCCUGGCAUGUAGAUUUGGAACCAAUUAUAAUAUGUAUUCUGGAGCCGGUGUAGUGGAAAAAUACCACUUUGGGGGUAGUAAUAACUUGUCAAAGCAUGUGGGCUACGUCAUUGUUACCAAGAACAACAUGAAAGUAUCCAAACAAAUAAAGGGACUGAUAAAAAGAUUGAUUGCAGGAAUCGCCUUGCAAUCAUCAGAAUAACAUUCAUGAAAAGAGGCCUCUCUCUCUGAUUCUCCACGUUGCCUUUUUCUGCCUUCAUUGAUAGCUAAAUUCAGGAGUCCUCAACUUAACGAUCAUUUGUUUAACAACGUUACAAUGGGACUGAAGAAAGUGACUUACGACUCAUCCUCAAUGUUAUGACCACUGGACCACCUCUGUGGGCAAGUGAUCACAAUUUAGGUGCCGGUAACCAGCUUGUAUUGACAAUGAUUAAAGCAUUUUUUUUUGCAGUCACGUGAUCACCUUCUGCAACCUUCCAACAAGCAAAGUCAAUGGGGGAAGCAAAUGACAACUGUGUCAUUUCCUUAAUGACUGCAAUAAAAUGGUUGAAAAUAUCCAAUUGGGUCCCAUGGCGAUUCAUUUAAUGACCACAUUGCUUAGUGAUUAAAAUUCUGGUUCCAAAUGUAUUUGUAAAUCGAGGACUACCUGUAAACUUUGCUACAUACAUCCUUCCACUUUUUUUCCACCCAUCUUCCCAUCUUUAGUAAAUGUUUUACCAGGAUACGCUCAUUCAUCUCCUUGAAUAGUUCAGUUUUUGUAUAUAGCUUGUGAUCCUUCACUGCGUUUUUCCUGUCAAGCACAAGGACUUUGCUCUCUGAUGGACUUAUGUUCCUGGAGGUUCAAAUGCAUCCUCAUCACUGCAUCGUACCUUCCGUUUAACAUUUGCUGCAAAUUCAUCCAAGCUCCACACAAAAAUAGACAGGCAUUCACCUUGCCACCUCACUGCAAGCAUUUUUACACAUUUGUGUGGGGUUUUUUCCCCCUGUUUCAUCCUGAGUUUUGUUGAAGAGCUCAAGGCAGCCUAUAUUUUUUUUUUCUCCUUGGGCUAAGAGAGAAUGACUGGCCUAGGGCUACCCAGUUAGCUUCUGUAACCAAGAGUGGGCUUGAAACGUGAGUCUUCUCAGCGAUGCACAGAAAUCUAGAAAAUUCAUGGCAGAGAAAGACCCAGUGGUCCAUUAAAAAUAAAAAAAAAACCUUUG